AUUGAACGCUGGCGGCAGGCCUAACACAUGCAAGUCGAACGAGUGGCGGACGGGUGAGUAAUGUCUGGGAAACUGCCUAAUAGAGGGGGAUAACUACUGGAAACGGUAGCUAAUACCGCAUACCAUCGGAUCGGCCGAAAUGUGAUUAGCUAGUAGGUGGGGUAAAGGCUCACCUAGGCGACGAUCCCUAGCUGGUCUGAGAGGAUAACCAGCCACACUGGAACUGAGACACGGUCCAGACUCCUACGGGAGGCAGCAGUGGGGAAUAUUGCACAAUGGGCGCAAGCCUGAUGCAGCCAUGCCGCGUGUAUGAUGAAGGCCUUCGGGUUGUAAAGUACUUUCAGCGGGGAGGCGUUACCCGCAGAAGAAGCACCGGCUAACUCCGUGCCAGCAGCCGCGGUAAUUC
rnacentral:rRNA from 1 species